rnacentral:rRNA from 1 species
GAUGAACGCUGGCGGCGUGCCUAAUACAUGCAAGUCGAGCGAACAGAUCAGUAGCUUGCUCCUCUCUCGUUAGCCGCACAGGGGAGUGUCACGCGUGGGUAACCUACUUUUCAUACUGGGAUAACUUCGGGACACGGGCGAUUAUCCCGUAUAAUAUCUUGUACCGCAUUGUUCAGUAGUGCAUGUCGGUUUUGCUGUCACCUCUAGACGGAUCCGCGCCGCAUUAGCUGGUUGGUAAGGUAACGCCUUACCGGGUCAACGAUCGGAAGCCGACCUGAGAGGGUGAUAGGCCACACUGGAGCUUGGACACGGUCCAGACUCCUACGGGAGGCAGCAGUAGGGAAUGUUCCGCAAUGGGCGAGAACUUGACGGAGCAGCGGCGCGUGAGUGAUGAAGGUCUUCGGAUCGUAAAACUCUGUUAUUAGUGGAAAACAAAUGUGUCAGUAACUAUGCACUUCUUGACGGUACCUGAUCAGAAAGCCACGGCUAACUACGUG